UUUUUUUUCUGACUUAAUAUUUCUAUGCCUGGUAAUUUCUACUGGAUAUCAGAUAUUACUGAUUUUAUUUUGGGGUGUUGGAUAUUUUUGUAUUCCUAUGAAGAUUCUUGCUUUUUGUUCUGGGAUAUAGUUAAACUUCCUGGAAACAUGUUCAUCCUUUUGGGUCUUGCUUUUAUGAUUUCUUAGGUGGGACCAGCUUAGGCUUUAGUGUAGAGACCAUUUUUUCCCAUUUCUGAAGCUGAUUCUUUCUGAGCACUCUUCCAGUUGCCCCAUGAAUUAUGUUUGGUAGGAAAAGGCAUGCUUCCUUGCCUUGGGCAAGCUAUAGGGAUUGUUUCCUUAAAUCCUUUUCCAUGGUCUUCUCUCCAACCUUUAGUUUCCUCACAAGCAUUUGCUGCUCAGCACUCUGCUAAAUACUCCGGGGGUGGGGAAGGCACAAGUUGGGGAAGGGGCAGUGCAGCAGAGCUCUGCUGAUCUCCAGAGUUCUCUCUGCACAGCUGUCUCAUCUUUUCUACCAUUUCCUACAAAUUCCAACUGCCCUAGUCUCUUUGGACUCUCUACCCUAACUCUGUAAUAUAGGGAGCCCACCAGGUUCUGACUGGAUUCCCUCUCUCUAUGCCACUUUCUAGAAAUGUUCUCAAGGCAAUAAGCUGGGGCAAUCAUGGGACUCACUUGUAGGUUUCUAUUAUUCAGGGAUCACUGUCCUUUAUUACUUGAUAUCCACUGUCUUGAAAACCAUAGCCUCAUACAUUUUGUGUGUUUUUUGACAUGUUUCAAGUAGAAGAAUAAAUUGGUCCCUUAUCCCACUUUCCCAAAGUUAAAGUCAGAAUUAUCUUUUCACAACUCAAUGUAAUUCUCCUCCCUAAAACAUUUCAUUGCAUUUCCAUCAUUAAAAUAAAAUCCAAGCUCCUUACUGACUUCAUAAUUUAAACCUUGUCUACUUUUCUAAGUAAGCUUCUGUCACUUGCUUCCAAUAACCAUACUCCAUAAAUAAAAUAACUGCAGUUUCACACAUACAAAAUAUUCUUUCAGUACAUUUGCACACGCUGUUCCCCCUGCCUACAACUCAUUUCCCUGCCUUGUCUGCCGAGAAAGUCCUAUGCAUCCAGGAAUAGCCAACACAAAUGCACAAAUGUAACCUCUGUGUGAAGUCCUCCCUCCCUGACACACUUCCAGCCACCUUCUCCCCCUCUCCUUUGCUCUCACCCAAAGAGAAGUUAGUCAGCUCACCUCAGUGCUCACAGGAACCUACUAUUCCUGGUGCUAUGAUGCUACCCAUCACUUUGUAUAUUAAUUAUAUUUUAAACAUCUAUCUACCCAGCUAUGGCCUUGGACAAGCAAGCUCCUCAAACACUCAAGUUUUCUCAUCUGUAAAAUGAAAAUGGUAAUAGGUAUCGAAAUGUUGCACCACAUAGGGUCAAUUCAUUUUAACAAGUAUGUUAAUUAUAUUUUCAACUCUCUGCAUUAUGUUCAAUCUCUUUUUCUUCAUUUUAUAGUACUCUUUCAGUUAAUAUCCCUUAAAAGUAAUCGGGACCCAUCAUUGAUCUGAAAAAUAUACAAUAAAAAUACUACAGGGCAAGUCCUAAAACAAAACAGAACAAAACAAAACAAAACAAAACAAAACAAAACAAAACAAAACAAAAAAAAACCUCAGUGCCUUCGGAAAGAUGAAGGCUUAGAGGCCACAGGGGAAAACUGACAAUACAAGCUGCAGGGAGUCUUAGGACCAAUCUACAGAUUUAACAUAAUCCCUAUCAAAAUACCAACAGCAUUUUUCAUAGAACUGUAACAAACAAUCCCAAAAUUCGUAUGGAACCACAAAAGACCUUGAAGAGCCAAAACAAUCUUGAAGAAGAAAAAAUAAACUGAAGGUAUCACAAAUCCAAACUUCAAGUUACAUUACAAAGAUGUUGAAAUCAAGGGAUCCCUGGGUGGCGCAGCGGUUUAGCGCCUGCCUUUGGCCCGGGGCGCGAUCCUGAAGACCCGGGAUCGAAUCCCACGUCGGGCUCCCGGUGCAUGGAGCCUGCUUCUCCCUC
rnacentral:lncRNA from 1 species